AAAUUGAAGAGUUUGAUCAUGGCUCAGAUUGAACGCUGGCGGCAGGCCUAACACAUGCAAGUCGAACGGUAACAGAAAGCAGCUUGCUGCUUUGCUGACGAGUGGCGGACGGGUGAGUAAUGUCUGGGAAACUGCCUGAUGGAGGGGGAUAACUACUGGAAACGGUGGCUAAUACCGCAUAACGUCGCAAGACCAAAGAGGGGGACCUUCGGGCCUCUUGCCAUCAGAUGUGCCCAGAUGGGAUUAGCUAGUUGGUGAGGUAACGGCUCACCAAGGCGACGAUCCCUAGCUGGUCUGAGAGGAUGACCAGCCACACUGGAACUGAGACACGGUCCAGACUCCUACGGGAGGCAGCAGUGGGGAAUAUUGCACAAUGGGCGCAAGCCUGAUGCAGCCAUGCCGCGUGUAUGAAGAAGGCCUUCGGGUUGUAAAGUACUUUCAGCGGGGAGGAAGGUGUUGUGGUUAAUAACCGCAGCAAUUGACGUUACCCGCAGAAGAAGCACCGGCUAACUCCGUGCCAGCAGCCGCGGUAAUACGGAGGGUGCAAGCGUUAAUCGGAAUUACUGGGCGUAAAGCGCACGCAGGCGGUCUGUCAAGUCGGAUGUGAAAUCCCCGGGCUCAACCUGGGAACUGCAUUCGAAACUGGCAGGCUUGAGUCUUGUAGAGGGGGGUAGAAUUCCAGGUGUAGCGGUGAAAUGCGUAGAGAUCUGGAGGAAUACCGGUGGCGAAGGCGGCCCCCUGGACAAAGACUGACGCUCAGGUGCGAAAGCGUGGGGAGCAAACAGGAUUAGAUACCCUGGUAGUCCACGCCGUAAACGAUGUCUACUUGGAGGUUGUGCCCUUGAGGCGUGGCUUCCGGAGCUAACGCGUUAAGUAGACCGCCUGGGGAGUACGGCCGCAAGGUUAAAACUCAAAUGAAUUGACGGGGGCCCGCACAAGCGGUGGAGCAUGUGGUUUAAUUCGAUGCAACGCGAAGAACCUUACCUGGUCUUGACAUCCACGGAAGUUUUCAGAGAUGAGAAUGUGCCUUCGGGAACCGUGAGACAGGUGCUGCAUGGCUGUCGUCAGCUCGUGUUGUGAAAUGUUGGGUUAAGUCCCGCAACGAGCGCAACCCUUAUCCUUUGUUGCCAGCGGUUAGGCCGGGAACUCAAAGGAGACUGCCAGUGAUAAACUGGAGGAAGGUGGGGAUGACGUCAAGUCAUCAUGGCCCUUACGACCAGGGCUACACACGUGCUACAAUGGCGCAUACAAAGAGAAGCGACCUCGCGAGAGCAAGCGGACCUCAUAAAGUGCGUCGUAGUCCGGAUUGGAGUCUGCAACUCGACUCCAUGAAGUCGGAAUCGCUAGUAAUCGUGGAUCAGAAUGCCACGGUGAAUACGUUCCCGGGCCUUGUACACACCGCCCGUCACACCAUGGGAGUGGGUUGCAAAAGAAGUAGGUAGCUUAACCUUCGGGAGGGCGCUUACCACUUUGUGAUUCAUGACUGGGGUGAAGUCGUAACAAGGUAACCGUAGGGGAACCUGCGGUUGGAUCACCUCCUUA
rnacentral:rRNA from 1 species